rnacentral:lncRNA from 1 species
AGAAAAUUUUUCUUUUUUUUUUUUGAGAAAAAUGUAGCAAGUUAUUGGCUUCAUUCAUUAAGUAAAAUGAACUGAGCGUACAUGAUGGAAGCAGCUUAAGCCUCUGAAUAAAAUAUGCAAAGGAAGGUUAGGAAAAGAAGCGCGAGACAGUAAAGAAAGAGGGGGCGAGGGGAAGGCAGACUAGUGUAGUCUUCUUAUAGCAGCGUAGUUCAGUUGCUUAUCAGGAGGUUGACACGUUCUAGUGAUCGGUAAGCGUUGACCGGAAUUUCCUGAAAAACGAAGUUGUUU